UUGUUGCGUUUCUUCAAUUGAUUAUUAUAUUUAAUUAAUUAUUUAAUUAAUAUUUAAUUAUGACACGAUUAAAGUGUAAAUGCGGUGUCGCGUUUGCACACAAAAAUUCUUUGAUUCGUCAUAUUCGGACGAAGCACAAGAGGGAGCAAAUCACCAAAAAUUUUUUUUCAAACGCUCAAUACGUAAGACAUACAUAUACUUUUUAUAUUAAAUAUGCUAAGUGUAGUUAUAAAAUAAGUUUCCAAGACUUAUGUGUGUAGUUCAUUGUGUUGUGAUACCUAUGCACGUCUCAUCACAUUCUACCUACAUGUUUCAAACACGUAUUGUACUGAUGUGUUAUGAACAGCUGGUUCCAGUUGAACAUUAGCAAUACGAACGUACAUCGUAGAUUGUUACGUUAGAAUAAAAUGACUUGGAUAAGAGUUCUUAUUAUUAUUAUUAUUAUUUAUCUUAGGAAUGUAAUGAUUGCAAACGAAGAUUUCAGAGAAAAGACAGUCUACAAAGGCAUAUUCUACAGCAACAUAUGAAAGAAGAAAAACCUACCUACAAAUGUAAUCGUUGUGGGAGUGAUUUCCAUAAAAAAAACGCUCUAAUACUACACUUAUCAAAAACUCAGAAAUGCCAAUCCGAUAAAUCAGCCAGCAUCGCGGAAAAAAGCAUUUCAAGUUCAGAAAAAGAUCAGGGGUUAAAAAGGUACAACUGCGUAAUGUGUGAAGAGAGCUUCAAACUGCAAUCUGAAAUUCGAAAUCAUCUUACUCAAACACACG